rnacentral:rRNA from 1 species
UACAGAGGUCUCAAGCGUUGUUCGGAUUCAUUGGGCGUAAAGGGUGCGUAGGCGGCGCGGUAAGUCGGGUGUGAAAUCUCGGAGCUUAACUCCGAAAUUGCAUUCGAUACUGCCGUGCUUGAGGACUGGAGAGGAGACUGGAAUUCAUGGUGUAGCAGUGAAAUGCGUAGAGAUCAUGAGGAAGACCAGUGGCGAAGGCGGGUCUCUGGACAGUUCCUGACACUGAGGCACGAAGGCCAGGGGAGCAAACGGG